rnacentral:rRNA from 1 species
AUUGAACGCUGGCGGCAGGCCUAACACAUGCAAGUCGAGCGGAUGAAGGGAGCUUGCUCCUGUAUUCAGCGGCGGACGGGUGAGUAAUGCCUAGGAAUCUGCCUGGUAGUGGGGGAUAACGUCCGGAAACGGGCGCUAAUACCGCAUACGUUCUGAGGGAGAAAGUGGGGGAUCUUCGGACCUCACGCUAUCAGAUGAGCCUAGGUCGGAUUAGCUAGUUGGUGGGGUAAAGGCCUACCAAGGCGACGAUCCGUAACUGGUCUGAGAGGAUGAUCAGUCACACUGGAACUGAGACACGGUCCAGACUCCUACGGGAGGCAGCAGUGGGGAAUAUUGGACAAUGGGCGAAAGCCUGAUCCAGCCAUGCCGCGUGUGCGAAGAAGGUCUUCGGAUUGUAAAGCACUUUAAGUUGGGAGGAAGGGCAGUAAGUUAAUACCUUGCUGUCUUGACGUUACCAACAGAAUAAGCACCGGCUAACUUCGUG